rnacentral:misc_RNA from 1 species
UAAUGAUAUUGUUUAUCCACACAAUACAUGGAAAACAUAUCAUUAUAGGUUGCCUGCUUGAAAUACUCAAAAUUAAAGGAGGAGAUUUUUUUACAAGUAUUCGUUCAUUAGUAUACUUCCACAUUCCAUUGUUCUGCUUUCUUCAAUGACCUUUUGUACUCCAACCAAUCAAUGCCAUCUUUAGCUGCCAGUGAUACCAUAAUGUCAUCAAUUCCCUUUUCCAUCCCCUUCAAUCCGCACAUAUAGACGUAGGUGUCAUCUUUCUUCAGUAACUCCCACAGCUCUUCCGCGUACUGAGCCAUGCGAGUUUGGAUGUACAUUUUUUCCCCUUUCUCAUUUGUUUGCUCUCUGCUUACGGCAAAGUCAACCCUGAAGUUGUUUGGGGCCUUCUCCUUCAUUUUCUCGAAUUCCUCCUUGUACAGCAAUGAACUACUUGUGGGGACACCCAAGAAGAGCCAUGCCAAACCAUUGAACUUAUAGUCCUCAUGCUUCUCAAAGAACAUUUUCCACAAGUACGCUCGGAAAGGCGCAAUACCGGUGCCAGUUGCAAGCAUGAUGAUUGUGGCAUUGAGAUCUUUAGGCAUGAGCAUUUCUUUUCCAACUGGUCCUGUAAUCUUCACUUCAGAUCCAGGUUUCAAGUCACACAAGAAAUUUGAGCAGACUCCUUUUACAGUUUCUCCUUUUUCAUUGACGUACACAAGCCGCUUCACACAAAGACACAAAGAGAAACAGUUUUGGAGUCUCCAAAGUCACCAAGGGCACUACUGGCAAUUGAAUACAAUCUCAGCUU